GACGAACGCUGGCGGCGUGCCUAAUACAUGCAAGUAGAACGCACAGUUUAUACCGUAGCUUGCUACACCAUAGACUGUGAGUUGCGAACGGGUGAGUAACGCGUAGGUAACCUGCCUGGUAGCGGGUGAUAACUAUUGGAAACGAUAGCUAAUACCGCAUAAUAUUAAUUAUUGCAUGAUAAUUAAUUGAAAGGUGCAAUUGCACCACUACCAGAUGGACCUGCGUUGUAUUAGCUAGUAGGUGAGGUAACGGCUCACCUAGGCGACGAUACAUAGCCGACCUGAGAGGGUGAGCGGCCAAACUGGGACUGAGACACGGCCCAGACUCCUACGGGAGGCAGCAGGAGGGAAUCUUCGGCAAUGGACGAAAGGCUGACCGAGCAACGCCGCGUGAGUGAAGAAGGUUUUCGGAUCGUAAAGCUCUGUUGUAAGAGAAGAACGGGUGGGAGAGUGGAAAGUUCACACUGUGACGGUAUCUUACCAGAAAGGGACGGCUAACUACGUG
rnacentral:rRNA from 1 species